CUUGGUCAUUUAGAGGAAGUAAAAGUCGUAACAAGGUUUUCGUAGGUGAACCUGCGGAAGGAUCAUUAAUGAGUUGCGACUCCUUCGGGAGGCCAUCUCCAACCCGUGUGAACGAACCUCUGUUGCUUUGGCGGGCCGUGGCGCUGCCGCCGCCGGCCCCAGCUGGCGAGCGCCCGCCAGAGACCUUUUUAAUUCUACCUAAUUGUCGUCUGAGUAAAUAUAAAUAUGAAAAACUUUCAACAACGGAUCUCUUGGUUCUGGCAUCGAUGAAGAACGCAGCGAAAUGCGAUAAGUAAUGUGAAUUGCAGAAUUCCGCGAAUCAUCGAAUCUUUGAACGCACAUUGCGCCCUUUGGUAUUCCGAAGGGCAUGCCUGUUCGAGCGUCAUUAUGACCACUCAAGCCUAGCUUGGUAUUGAGGUUCGCGGUCUCGCGGCCCCUAAAAUCAGUGGCGGUGCUGUCUGGCUCUAAGCGUAGUAAUUUUCUCGCUAUGGGGUCCGGACAGUUACUUGCCAAAACCCCAACUUCUCACGGUUGACCUCAGAUCGGGUGGGACUACCCGCUGAACUUAAGCAUAUCAAUAAGCGGAGGA
rnacentral:rRNA from 1 species